rnacentral:rRNA from 1 species
UGCAACCCCAGGUCAAGCGAGGCUACCCGCUGAGUUUAAGCAUAUCAAUAAGCGGAGGAAAAGAAACUAACAAGGAUUCCCUUAGUAACGGC